GACUCUCCGGUGGCUUAGUGCUUAGAGCGUCCGUCUCUGAUGUGGGAGGUCGCAGGUUUAAACCCAGGCCGAGUCA